rnacentral:rRNA from 1 species
GACGAACGCUGGCGGCAUGCCUAAUACAUGCAAGUCGAGCGAACAGAUGAAGUGCUUGCACUCCUGACGUUAGCGGCGAACGGGUGAGUAACACGUAAGGACUCUACCUAUAAGCGGGGGAUAACAUUCGGAAACGGGUGCUAAUACCGCAUAAUAUUUUCUUCCGCAUGGAAGAAGAUUGAAAGACGGCCCUGCUGUCACUUAUAGAUGACCUUGCGGUGCAUUAGUUAGUUGGUGGGGUAAGGGCCUACCAAGACGAUGAUGCAUAGCCGACCUGAGAGGGUGAUCGGCCACAUUGGGACUGAGACACGGCCCAAACUCCUACGGGAGGCAGCAGUAGGGAAUCUUCCGCAAUGGGCGAAAGCCUGACGGAGCAAUGCCGCGUGAGUGAAGAAGGCCUUCGGGUCGUAAAACUCUGUUAUAAGAGAAGAACAAAUUGUAGAGUAACUGCUACAGUCUUGACGGUAUCUUAUCAGAAAGCCACGGCUAACUACGUGCCAGCCGCCGCCGUAA